rnacentral:miRNA from 1 species
CCCUGGGGUUCUGAGGACAUG